rnacentral:rRNA from 1 species
GAGUUUGAUCAUGGCUCAGAUUGAACGCUGGCGGAAUGCUUUACACAUGCAAGUCGAGCGGCAGCGCGGGGCAACCUGGCGGCGAGCGGCGAACGGGUGAGUAAUGCAUCGGAACAUGUCCAUGUCGUGGGGGAUAGCCCGGCGAAAGCCGGAUUAAUACCGCAUAUGCCCGAGAGGGGAAAGUGGGGACCGCAAGGCCUCACGCGAUUGGGUUGGCCGAUGUCCGAUUAGCUAGUUGGCGGGGUAAGAGCCCACCAAGGCGAUGAUCGGUAGCUGGUCUGAGAGGAUGAUCAGCCACACUGGGACUGAGACACGGCCCAGACUCCUACGGGAGGCAGCAGUGGGGAAUUUUGGACAAUGGGGGAAACCCUGAUCCAGCCAUUCCGCGUGAGUGAAGAAGGCCUUCGGUUGUAAG